rnacentral:lncRNA from 1 species
UAUCAAUAUAUAUUGUCAAGAAAGAAUCUUAUUUUUUUUACUCUAAAAAAUACCUUUUUAUACAAAACAAAAUAUGUCAUCUUUGUAAAUUGAUCUAAAACAAUAUAGAUAGUAUCAGAUAUACAUGAUGGUAGCAAAUCAAUGAUAAAGUCUAUUGAUAUUGAAGACCAUGGUUGCUUUGGAAUUGGCAGCAGCUAUUGAAGUCUAUAAGAAUGUUGUCAGGAAUUCUUUGAUCUUGAAUAGAUGCCACCUAAGA